UACGUAGGGGGCAAGCGUUGUCCGGAUUUAUUGGGCGUAAAGAGCGUGUAGGUGGCCAGACAGGUCAGCUGUGAAAACUCGAGGCUCAACCUCGAGACGUCGGUUGAAACCGUCUGGCUAGAGUCCGGAAGAGGAGAGUGGAAUUCCCGGUGUAGCGGUGAAAUGCGCAGAUAUCGGGAAGAACACCCGUGGCGAAGGCGGCUCUCUGGGACGGUACUGACGCUGAGACGCGAAAGCGUGGGGAGCGAACAGG
rnacentral:rRNA from 1 species